CACCAAAUACUUUUUUUCUGUUCUGUCAGUGACAGUUGUUGUUCAUGAUCGCUUGCCGGAGGAUGAUAGGUCUGCUUUUAUUUUUUUCAAUAAUAAUAAAUUAAACAAAAUCUUAAGUUUUCCGAUGGCACCGUGGUAAAUUUUAACGACACAGAGUCUAAGAUCUUUCAUCAUCCGAAAAAAAAUGCUAUUUUGGCGAGAAACAUCAAAUUUUUUACAUAAUGUUGUUGCAGAAAAUAACUAUAGGUAUACAUACCUACUUGGAACCGAAAGGAAAAAACCCUUAGCGCAAUCUGUGAACCCCAACGAGUGGCUGAAUGUUUGGAUCAUUUUAAAACUUCAUGGAAUUUUUAAGAGCUGUAUUGGGUGCAUUUUUUCAUGUUUGCUUCAUGAGUAAAAUUUGAAAAUUAAAAGCUAAACCAAUAACCUACAAUUCAGUUGAAUUUGAAAUAGAAAGAUAAAUGGAGGGUAAGGGAUAGAUAUGGUUUUGUUUCAGGAAAAUAAAGCAACAUUUCUAAAUGAAAUUCAAUUUCUCUUUUCAUUUAACAGUUCUAUAACUUUAUUUCGAAAGUUUAAACUUUUAAUUUUAAAGCGGCACACUAUUUUUUAACACUGGGCGAAACAAAAGUUUGCAUACUUUUAUUUUGAACAUACGCAACUCUCUACGAAAAAGAACCAACGCAACUUUUUAUUUUUACCAACGAUAUUUUUAAUUUUAAUAAUGAUUUUUCUUU